AUAUCACUCACUUGGGAAAGUGUCUCAAGCUGUUCUACAAAUCCAUGCAAAAGCAGUUUAAAAAUAGCAGAGAAGGCCCUGGACUCGGUCUCGUCCAGCGCAGCCCCUUGGCUUUCUCUCCUGGAUCUGGCCGCCUGGCCCCCGGUGACACACACGAGGUCAUGGCAUGCUACAGGGAGGCGGGGAUCCCGUGGACACCUCAGCUCUUUAGAGUUCUCCGCCUGGGCCAGGACGGGCACGGGGGUCCCCACUGAUGCCCGAGACGGUGCCCCUGUGUGUGUGUGAGCCCUCGACCCACGUAACAAGAGAGGUGUCCUGAUGCCCUCUGUCCUCUCCAGGUAGAUCUAGGAUCCGGCUUCCAACAUGUGGCAGCUCUGGGCCUCCCUCUGCUGCCUGCUGGCGUUGGCCGAUGCCCGGAGCAGGCCCUCUUUCCAUCCCCUGUCGGAUGAGCUGGUCAACUACGUCAACAAACGGAACACCACGUGGCAGGCCGGGCACAACUUCUACAACGUGGACGUGAGCUACUUGAAGAAGCUGUGUGGUACCUUCCUGGGUGGGCCCAAGCCGCCCCAGAGAGUUAUGUUUACCGAGGACCUGAAGCUGCCUGAAAGCUUCGAUGCACGGGAACAAUGGCCACAGUGUCCCACCAUCAAAGAGAUCAGAGACCAGGGCUCCUGUGGCUCCUGCUGGG
rnacentral:sRNA from 1 species